UACGUAGGGUGCGAGCGUUGUCCGGAAUUACUGGGCGUAAAGAGCUCGUAGGUGGUUUGUCGCGUUGUUCGUGAAAACCGGAGGCUUAACCUCUGGCGUGCGGGCGAUACGGGCAGACUGGAGUACUGCAGGGGAGACUGGAAUUCCUGGUGUAGCGGUGGAAUGCGCAGAUAUCAGGAGGAACACCGGUGGCGAAGGCGGGUCUCUGGGCAGUAACUGACGCUGAGGAGCGAAAGCGUGGGGAGCGAACAGG
rnacentral:rRNA from 1 species